CGUGAGAUGUUGGGUUAAGUCCCGCAACGAGCGCAACCCCUAUCUUCUGUUACCAGCACGUGAUGGUGGGGACUCAGGAGAGACUGCCGCAGACAAUGCGGAGGAAGGCGGGGAUGACGUCAAGUCAUCAUGCCCCUUAUGGCUUGGGCUACACACGUACUACAAUGGCUCUUAAUAGAGGGAAGCGAAAGGGCGACCUGGAGCAAACCCCAAAAACAGAGUCCCAGUUCGGAUUGCAGGCUGCAACCCAGCCCUGCA
rnacentral:rRNA from 1 species